AUGCUUUAUAUUGGAUAUAGUUCAGCCCCUACUGUGGAGACCAGGGUCCCACUACCCUUAGAUCUGGUUCCUCCCCCGAUCCUGACCCUGCCGCCUGGUUCUGAGCCUUCCCCUGGUGCUUGGCUCCAGCCUUUGAUAAAUAGUUGCUCCUUAAUCUGUUUCCACCCUGGGGCUCACCUGUUUUUUUUUUUUUUUUUUUUUUUUUGAGACAGGGUGUCUUAUCUGUCACCCAGGCUAGAGUUCAGUGGCAGGAUUACCACUCAUUGCAGCCUCGACCUCCUGGGCUCAAGUGAUCCUCCCAGCUCAGCCUUCAAGAGUAGCUGGGACUGCAGACCUGCACCACCACGCCUAGUUGCCCGGUUAAUUUUUUUCUGUCGGUUUGAAGAGGGGAGAAGGUCUCACUAUGCUGCCCCGGCUUGUCUCAAACUCCCGGGCUCAAGCAAUCCUCCCACCGUGGCAUCCCAAAGUGCUGGGGUUACAGGUGUGAACCACCACACUGGGCUCUGCUCUGCCUUUCUGAGUUUGAUUUCUGCUUAUGGUGGGGGGGCUUGUUCCCGUUCUUCCCACAAGAACCCAGGAUGUGGCACAGCUUCCCUGCCGUCUUCUUUCGCUCAGUUGGCUACGCCUCCCAUCCUAGCUCCACUUUCAGAACUGCCUUCACCCUAGGCUGGGUCCUUGUUUUGUUUUUAGAGACAGGGUCUCACUCUGACGCCCAGGCUGGAGCACAGUGGCAUGAUCUCGGUUCACUGCCACCUCCACCUCCCGACUUCAAGCGAUUCUCCUGCCUCAGCCGCCCGAGUAGCUAAGAUUACAGGCAUGCACCACCAUGCCUGGCUAAUUUUUAUAUUUUUAGUAGAGAUGAGCUUCCACCUUGUUGGCCAGGCUGGUCUCGAACUCCUGGCCUCAGGUGAUCCACCCGCCUCACCUCCCAAAGUGCUGGGAUUACAGGCAUGGGCCACUGCACCUGGCCAGCUGGGUCCUUGUUCUGCUGCCCAAGCUUGGCCCUGGUUCCGUGGGCUGGUUCUACUUUUUGUUCUCCCAUCUUCUGCCUCCCACCUCCUCCCGCUUGAGCUUAGCCCCGCCCUCUCAGCCUGAUUUCUGUUUCCCAAGUCCAGCUGUGUCGUAGGAUAGGUUUUUUUGCUUCCUUUUACUGUCUCCAUCCUGCUCACACGUCCCUGAUCCUGGGGUCUGGGGACUCCCCAUGGUUUCCUUCCUUCUGCAGGCCCAAAAUGAUGGCCCCUCUUAACCCAAGGCAGGGAUCUUCCUCCCAACCCUCUGGACCAAGGUGGCAUUUCCUGCACACCCCUCCAGGCCAAGAUGAUGCUCUCUCUCAACUCUCUAGGCCAAGGUGGCAUCUCCUCCUGACUAUCCAGACCUAAAGUGACACCCUCAGGCACUUCGGGCCCAAUUCAGCCCUGCCCUGGUGCUUUGGGUGCCAGAUGACAGCACUUUGCAGAUAAGAACGAUAUGACAUGUGUGGAUUUCACUACAUUUGGCUCCUGGAUGCUAUAAAAGGACUUGGAUUUCUGACUUGGCUCAGGGACUGGGGUUAACAGUCUCUUUCUGCUCUUUCUCACCUGUGUUUUCUUCCGAUUCCAGCUCUGGUCCCUCAGUCGCAUUCAUAUUUACUCUCCUCUCCCAGCCUGAUACCCCUGUCCCUUAUCUCAACCCGAAGCCAAGAUCUGAGCCCCCAAGAUGGAGAAUGGGGAGGAGGUUUUUAUGGCGGACUGAUUAAAACUCUUAAGCAUU